rnacentral:rRNA from 1 species
GAGUUUGAUCCUGGCUCAGAUUGAACGCUGGCGGCAGGCCUAACACAUGCAAGUCGAGCGGAUGAAGGGAGCUUGCUCCUGGAUUCAGCGGCGGACGGGUGAGUAAUGCCUAGGAAUCUGCCUGGGUAGUGGGGGAUAACGUCCGGAAACGGGCGCUAAUACCGCAUACGUCCUGAGGGAGAAAGUGGGGGAUCUUCGGACCUCACGCUAUCAGAUGAGCCUAGGUCGGAUUAGCUAGUUGGUGGGGUAAAGGCCUACCAAGGCGACGAUCCGUAACUGGUCUGAGAGGAUGAUCAGUCACACUGGAACUGAGACACGGUCCAGACUCCUACGGGAGGCAGCAGUGGGGAAUAUUGGACAAUGGGCGAAAGCCUGAUCCAGCCAUGCCGCGUGUGUGAAGAAGGUCUUCGGAUUGUAAAGCACUUUAAGUUGGGAGGAAGGGCAGUAAGUUAAUACCUUGCUGUUUUGACGUUACCAACAGAAUAAGCACCGGCUAACUUCGUGCCAGCAGCCGCGGU